AUGAACGCUGGCGGCAUGCCUAACACAUGCAAGUCGAACGAAGGCUUCGGCCUUAGUGGCGCACGGGUGCGUAACGCGUGGGAAUCUGCCCCUUGGUUCGGAAUAACAGUUGGAAACGACUGCUAAUACCGGAUGACGACGUAAGUCCAAAGAUUUAUCGCCGAGGGAUGAGCCCGCGUAGGAUUAGCUAGUUGGUGUGGUAAGAGCGCACCAAGGCGACGAUCCUUAGCUGGUCUGAGAGGAUGAUCAGCCACACUGGGACUGAGACACGGCCCAGACUCCUACGGGAGGCAGCAGUGGGGAAUAUUGGACAAUGGGCGAAAGCCUGAUCCAGCAAUGCCGCGUGAGUGAUGAAGGCCUUAGGGUUGUAAAGCUCUUUUACCCGGGAUGAUAAUGACAGUACCGGGAGAAUAAGCUCCGGCUAACUCCGU
rnacentral:rRNA from 1 species